UCCGCGAGCUCCUCCUUCCACCUGUCCAAAACUGAGCUCAAAUUGGAAAUCUCCGAUUCCGACUACUUCAAGAAGCUCAACUUACAGUGGCACAAACUCAUCAACAUUGACAAUACAACGACAUUGUAGGUAACGACAUUCUAAGGCCAUAAUUUUAUUAUGUUGGUUAUUUAUUUUACUGUAUAAUUUUAUUUUAUUUUGGAUCUAUGAGGUGUUGCUGUUGUUUCAUGCCAUUUGUUUUUAAUACUAGGAUGAAUAAAUGUUAUGCAUAGUAAGUUUUUUGUCUUAAUUUUCCCUAUGGAUAUUGUUGCCAUCGCCUAUUAAGCACUGGCACUGGGUGCUACAGAGGUUGUUGUUUGUUUAUGAGAUUUAGUACUUGAUUUAACCAAAUGUGGAUCUUAAAUAUAAAGGUGACCUUAGCUAGUACGCCAAAAUUGAAAAUGCACCCUUAUUUUUGUAGUAUAUGAUAGAUAAUUGCUUAUUAAAUAGGACAUUUAUAUGUAGCUUCGAUACUGAGUAUAGGUUAGUAUGCUGACACUAUUUUCUUAUAUUAAUGUAACAUUCUAGAUUUCGGUUCACUCGUGUAGCCAUUGUUGGAAUUUUACUCUUUCCAGUUUUUAUAUUACUCUUGCAAAGAUAUAAACAAUGUUUGUGUUGCUUUUAUUUUAUUCCUGGUGCGUGCAAAAUCCGAUAAAUUAAUGGAUUCGACCUUUUAUGUCGUUAUUCCACCAAAAUUUCAAUAUAUCAAUAGAAUAUUUUUCACCGUGUUUGGAUUUUGUAAAUGACAUUGACCAUGUUGUCAUCUUGCACAAACCGGUUUGAGCACACCGAUUCAAUUAAUCAACUUAAUUAAAUUCUGAUAAAUUAAUAAUUAAAGGUUGACCAGUUUCUUUUCCACUGUCUUUUCAUAAUAAGCAAAUUCGAUUCCACUUCAUGUUAUCAUCAACCCAUAAUCACAAAUAAACCGCACAAUUCUCAAUUCAAAGUUGAGCCCAUUUUUCCAAAACUUUGUAAGUCGAUCGCUUUUAGCAUCGCCGUCAACCUCACAUAGCUUACUCUUGGGCUUUCUUACAAUGAGAACUAUUUGAUUUUAUUCAAUCGAGUAGAAGAACGAUACACUAAAAUAAAAUUCAUUUCACUCAUAAGCACCAAAUUUAAAACCUCGACCCAAUGUCGAGUAUUUUCAUUCGAAUUAAAUUAAAGUACCCAAUCACAAUCAAAUACCAUUUCAUUUGGAAAUGAAAAGGGGGAUGGCUUUGAGUUUUCAAUUCCUCUCCUCGAUUACUUGAAUACGUGUUCUCUUACUCGGUUAGUCAAAUAGUCGUCACUUCCAUCCAUCUAAGCAUAAAAAAAUCGAAUCAUUUUAUAAUAAGAAACGAAAAGGGAGAUGACUUUGAGUCUUCAAUUUUUCUCCUCGAUUAUUUGAAUACAAGUUCUCUUACUUGGUUAGUCAAAUAAUUGUCGUUCCUCUACAAACACAUUUUAUAAUAAGAAACGAAAAGGGAGAUGACUUUGAGUCUUCAAUUUUUCUCCUCGAUUAUUUGAAUACAAGUUCUCUUACUUGGUUAGUCAAAUAAUUGUCGUUCCUCUACAAACUUCCAAACCUCGAUUAAACCAAAACACUUUCAUAAUGAGCUAAAUUAAAAGGGAGAUGACUUUGAGUUUUCAACUUCUCUCCCCAAUUGUUUGAAUACGAGUUCUCUUACUCGGUUAGUCAAACAACUGUCAUUUUUCCACAAACAUAUAACUUAAUCAAAUCAUUUUCAUAACAAACUGUAUGAAAAGGAAGAUGGUCUUGAGUUUUCAAUUCCUCUUCUCAAAUGCUUGGAUAUGAGUUGUCUUACUCAGUCAUUCAAGUACUUGUCGUUCAUUCUAAAAUACAUCAACCAUACGCAAACCUAUUUUCAUAAUCGCUCAGAUGAAAAAGAAAGUGGUCUAGAGUAUUCUAUUCUGUUUCCCGAUUAUUAGGAUACGAGUUAUCUUACUUGAUUAUCCGAGUAUUCGUGAUCCAGUCAAAAUACCUUAAUUAUUACUAAAACCUUUUAUAGUUAAAGAGGAAAAAGAAAGUGGUCUAGAGUUUUCUAUUCCCUUUCCCGAUUAUUAGGAUACGAGUUGUCUUACUCGGCCAUCCGAGUAAUCGUCAUCCAAUCAAAAAUACCUUGACACAUCCAACCUAUAUUUUCUCGCCCCCGUGCGAUCAAAACAAACCAAACAAAACAUCAAACACAUUAAUUCAACUUGUCACCCCGUGUGACCAAAACCAACAAACUCUACUCAAAAGAACACUGUUAAUCCUUUCUAAUGCGCACAACAAACUAGUGCUAGAGCCUCCCCCGAGAGUAGACAAGCCAACGUUUAGUCGUUAGAACGCUGACUUACACAUUCGUUCAUCAAACAAAACUCACAAAAUAUUCAUAGUAUCCCGAACUACGAAUGCUCUUAUUUCCUUAUUGCACCAUAAGGAUACAUAGGCAGGAGAUUGUUGUAUCUUCGUGAGCACACUAAUAAAAAAAACCUCUCAUUUCCCCUUCCUGAGGUCUUCAUCCAUAUCUAUUAUCAACUCUAAUUACUCGAAGAAAACAAACAACAUUCAGUUAACACUCAAAUCGCGAAAUUGAAGUAAAAGGUUCCCGUUGAGUACAACGGACGUGAGGGGUGCUAAUACCUUCCCCUUGCGUAAUCCACUCCUGAACCCGAAUAUGGUUGCGACGACCAUUAUUCCAUUUUCUUAAAGGUUUUCUCGAUAUUUUCCUAUUCCUUCUUUGGAAUGAAUAAAAUUCGGUGGAGACUCUAUUCGAACAUUUUUCCGCAUCCAAUCGCGAGGGAUCGCAUUUUUUUUUCGAGGUGCGACAGACUGGCGACUCUGCUGGGGACCCAUGCUCCAAGCAAGAGAGAGUGAAGCCUAACUUAGUUUAAUUUCUGUAUUGGGUGUUAAUCUUGUUUGUUUGUUUAUUACCUUUAGUCUAUCAUUAUUCUGUUGUAAUUAUUGUAUUGUGGUUUACUUCUUAUGAUACUAUUGGGAGUUCUCUGAUUAUGUGUACUGUGUGAGAUAGACUCUCUACCCGAGCCUGAGAAAAACCAUAAGUUUAAGUUGGUGGUUGCAUAGUGGACGCCCAUAAGGAGUCUUCCUUGUUUGGAAGAUGCGAAGACUCCGCCUAGAGGAGAUUCUCUUGAGAUACUAUUGUCCGACGAGCCUUCGUCACGACGAUGGUGUUUCAAGUUGGAUCAAUGACUCUAGGGACAUUUUAACCCACUAUCUGACGGUUAUGUAGUAUUAACCUACGAAGUUUCACACUUGUUGGGUUAAUACGAAAACCCCAAUCAGGUGAGAUCCCUUUGACGUAUUAUUACCUUACAGUAAUAUUUCCAACCUCGAUCUAUGACUCUGAGAACCUUAUUAGAACCUUGGACUCAAGAGUCGCAUAGUAGAAUCCCCAUGGAAUCUUCCUUGUUGGGACAAUACGAAGACCUCUCCUAAGAUGAGACUAUCUUAGGGGUAUUACUGUCCGACGAGUCUUCAUCACGGUAGUGAUGCUCUCGACGAGAAUCGAUGACUCUGGGAACCUAUUAACCUUAGGACUUACCCUUGGGAAUUUCAGUAAUCAGAGAAACCUAUACUUCCUCCUGUUAUCCUGAUGUACACGACGUGUGAAUGAUCUUGAGUAUUGGCAUUCCUUUGCGAAAAAUGGCAAAAAUUCAUGCAUUUGCAUAUCAUAAACAUGCAUUGCAUAUCAUCUUCCAGAGACAAAAACUUACACCAUAUUCUACCCUUUGUCCAGUAACACUGACUACUCGACACCGGUACGAGACACGCUGCAACUACAGGAUGACACUCGAACAACUUGGAGCAAACCAGGUUUCAAUGAGGACAGACAUCGACUCCAUGCAAGCGAAGAUGGACCGUUUACUUGAAACUCUAUUGCUCCUAGCCCAGAAGGAAAAGGAUGCCGAGACUAGCGCCGAAGCCAGAAAAGUUGCCGCUCAGUUUGGAUCACCAUCGCUUAGCAUCCUUGGAGUGACUGACCUUGAUGGUAACCUUGCCCAUCCUAAAGAAGGACCCAUCCCUAUUCAUGUUCCCAUGGUCAAUAUAAACCCCCAUGAGCCUUCCGCUACAACUGCUCGACAUGGAUCCAUGAUGGGUGAUGAAGAUCCAUAUGACGCUUUCUUCAUGCCAUAACCCACCAAACCUGCUGUUGGAAGUCUCCUAGACCCAGCUGUUGAGAGACUCCAUGCUCUGGAAGAGAAGUUUAAGUCCUUGGAGGUUCACACUACUCCCGAUUUGGACGUUGUUGACAUGUGCUUGGUACCAGGCCCCGUGAUUCCGCAAAAGUUCAAGGUCCCGGACUUUGACAAGUAUAAAGGGAUUAGCUGCCCGAGAACUCAUCUCAGAGCUUAUUGUCGCAAGAUGGCUGCACACAUCAGUAAUGAUCAACUCCUGAUUCAUUACUUCCAAGAUAGCCUCAAUGGGGCAUCCUUGGAGUGGUAUAUGCAGCUAGAGAGAGGACAAGUCCAGUCAUGGAGAGAUCUUGCUGAAGCUUUCCUUAAGCAUUAUCAGUACAACACUGAUCUAGCGCCCAAUCGCACCCAGCUGCAGGACAUGACUCAGCGUAAUAACGAGUCAUUCAAGGAAUACACACAACGUUGGAGAGAGCUAGCACCUCGUGUCCAACCUCCUCUUCUUGACAAAGAAAUAAUUGAUAUGUUUAUGGGAAUUUUUCAUACUCAAUAUAUGGAGAAAAUGGUAGGAUCCAGUUUCCCAACUUUUGCUGAGGUUGCCUCUGUGGGAGAAUGAAUCGAGAGCCAGAUCAAGAAGGGAAAUCUACCUUGCGCUGCCAAUGCUUCAAGUGGGAUAAAGAAACCCUAUCCUAAUCUCCCAAAGAAGCCAGAAGGUCAGACCAAUGCCAUAAUGAGAGGAGGAGGAUAUUGGACACAUCCAUAUGCUCCUGUGCCUUACCAUCAGGUUGUCGCUGUCAUCCCAACACCAUAUCAGCCACCAUAUCAACAACCAUAUCAAUAGUCCUAUCAACAACCAGCUUACCAGUAGCCACAUCAUAAUCAACAACAACGUGCUCCACCGCAACGUCAACCUAACCAGCAGGGGGCAAGGAGACCAGAAAGACAUUUUGAUCCUUUGCCAGUACCAUACAGCAAGAUCCUUCCCUACCUGCUAAAGGAUGGAUCAAUUGUUUUGAAGGAGCUAACACCUGCAACUCUUCCCUAUCCACCAGGCUAUGACGCCAAUGCUCACUGCGAGUAUCAUAUGGGUGCCCCAGGGCAUACAGUAGAAAAUUGCAAGGCCUUCAAGCACAAUGUCCAGAACCUGAUUGACAGUAAGGAAGUUACUUUCACGCCAGUUAGGCCAAAUGUUGCAACAAAUCCCAUGCCAGCGUAUGCAGAGUCGAGUGAAGCUCGAAGAUAAAACUUCCCACCGGCCUGGACAAGCAGAGCAAUUCCGCCAGUGGAUCAAAAGAUGAAGGCCCGUUUCUUUGAAUGAAGGCGAUCAUUAUGCCAUUUUUACCCUUUCACAUUCUUGUAAUUUGUUCUUGUUUGUCUAAGUACUGUAUUGCUUUAAACAUUGUUAUUUGUAUUUGGUCUUAUUAAUGGGAUGAUUAUGCAUGAUUUGAAUCAAUCUUUCAUAUUCACUCAUCAAUCACAUUUGCGAAACACAAACACAGACUUUUCCACUUCACCUUCUUUAUCACACUAUUGUUAGUAAAUGUUGGAAGGAGGAUGACGAAAACGAAAUACCCAUAAUUGCUGAUUGUAUGCUUUCGGAUAAAAUCCUACUAAUGAUGUACAUGCAUUGUUUCAAAUCCCCAAAUACUGGAGAGAUAAGGAGUUAAUCCCUAGUCAACCACUUUGAGCCUAGAAGUAGGAGUUUCUUUCAGAUCUACAAACCCUUACGCUUAACCUAGGGUAUGUCGCAUCCGCGAAAAACAACCGGCGGGCAAAAACAAAACAAACAGAGCCGCCACCGUGUGUUAUUUAUCCCAAAGAGGGAAAGGAAAUGCUCGAAGUAAACCUGGAAAAGACAUGGUCUCGUGACCAAAGAGAGAUGGGAUCGGGAGUCGGUUAUGCGAAGGGAAGGUAUUAGCACCCUAGCGCAUCCUGAUAGCGGGAUCACGCUCAGAAAGAAGAAAAGAAGUUGCAACGCUGCCUCAAAAGAAUGCACACACACUGCGAAACAACACAGUGAAGAAACAGGAAACGGGCUCGCUAGGAUAUCGCAUCCUAUGCCUACGUAUCUCAUCUGGAAUGAGAAUCAGAGCUACCGUAGUUCGGCUCACGCACGCCGAAACAAAACACACGCACAGACGCUGAGACGUCAAAUCAAACACGCAAACGGAAACUGAAUGCCAAUCGCUGGACUUACAUCAGACUCCGAACCAACAAACAUACACAGGAAACCAACUGCCAAUCACUGGACUUACGUCGGACUCCACACAAACAAACACCAAUAGGAUACGGACUGCCAAUCGCUGGUCUUACAUCCAUAUCCUAACACACACAAGAAGGUUAACCAACAAAACAAGUUACUAAGGAGUCUGGCACUCGAGCCUAGUAACUUUCAAGCAAACACACGCAAAAAGAAAAAGGGUCCCCGGAGAGAUCUCGUACGACCUCCUGCCUACGUACCUCAUCUGGUAUAAGGAUCAGGGCAAUGUAGUUCCCCUUAACAGGGGAGAAACUUUCUCCUAACCAGAGACUGGGAAAUGACAAACUAGAAGGGAGACUGACUCGAGCCUAAUAGUUAUCAUGUAAUCCACCAUGGUCCUAGGUUGAGGUUUCUANNNNNNNNNNNNNNNNNNNNNNNNNNNNNNNNNNNNNNNNNNNNNNNNNNNNNNNNNNNNNNNNNNNNNAUAAACAAACACAAGCAUUGCCUCUUAAGGAGGGCUUCAGACAGGUGCCUGCCCAAGUAACAGGACAGGUCUUCCAGACUACAUGAAGUCAGAGAGUUAUACCUAUGUGGUUAAGCAACCAAGCAAAAGCAAGUUCAAAUUGAACUUAAGCAACUUAUGUACCUGUUGAAACAUCACACAAGUCAGUACACAACUCAGACAAUCAAACAACAAUCAAUAUCAACAGUCAAACCCAAUAGGCAAAGGCAUAAGCUACAACUCAAACUCAAAUGAGUUAGCAACCCUACAAAACACACAAUGUUAGUAGUCAAAAGCAAGCAUCAAAUGCUCAAGUGAGAUUGCAUCAUGAACCAUAUAACCUGGAUGUUCAACCUGAAAUCAAAGCUCAAAGAUGAGACAAACCACUAGGUCAAGGCCUAGGGUCAAAGAGGGAGAAAAAAUUCAGAACAGAACAUGAAAAUUGACAUGAAUCAACUUCAAUCAAUCAAGAACAUCAUCCAAAAAGUCCCACAUCAAUAUCAUUCACCAAUUUCAUUUCAUGAACAAAAUAUGGAAAGAUAUGCACAUUGUAACCACAUUGAGACAACAGAAUGAACAAAUGCCCAAUAAAUCAAAUAUUAUUCAAUUAAUUUUGGGAAAUAUCAUGGGUAAACAGAACAAACAACAUGAUCAAAACACCAAAAAUCAAGGCAUUUGGACAAGUUUAAGCAUGGUAAUCAAAUUCAUCAAGUCAAAGCAAGCACAAACAAGCUCAAAUGAGGCACCAAAUGCUACAUCAACUUAGCACAAGCCUAAAACAGAAAUGGUAAAAGAUAAAAACCUCAAACCAAAGCCAAAACCACAUUCAACAUGUCUAGAAUUAGUGUGCAAAAUGUCAUAUCCAUAGGAUAAAGCACAAGCAUUUCACAAACAAAUGAAAAUCAUGACUAUUCAAAAGUUCACAAAUGAUCAUCCAGAAUGAAAAAUCUCAAUCAAAUCAGAAAUCAAUCCAAAAAUUCCACAAAAUAUCAUGAGCAUUCACAACAUUCAUAUCAAGCACCAUACAAAAAAUCACAUCAAUUGGAGUUUAUUUGGCAUGGCAAAGAAAUCCAUCAAGUUGAGCAUCACAAGGUGUGACACAAAUUGUCACACCUAACUUAGAAAAACCAUAACUCAGCAAUGGCAAUUGAUAAAAAUGCAAACUCAACACCAAAAUGUCCAGCAAGAUGUCUAGUUUAAGCAUGUAAAAUUUUAUGAGCAUUGGAUAAGAAUUGAGCAUUUCACAAUUGAUAUAUCAAAGCAAUGUCAAAACAUGACAUGUAUACACAAACCCUAGCACAAAAAAUUAUACAACCAUGCAUAAUUUCUGGAAAAAUAAUAAAAAAAAACUAGACACAAAAUGUGACCUAAUGCAAAAACAACCAUAUUUUUUGGAUCAAUAUUUAAUUUGUUUUGAUUUUUUAAAGUUGAAGAAAAAUUAAAAUCAUGUGAAACAAGUAGGAAAAGGCAUGGAAAUAAAUAUGAAAUGAGCACUUGAAAAAAAAUGCCCAGCCAAGAUUCGAACUGCCUGCAUAUUUGAACCUGAAUUGGCGCGCUACAUGGCAAAUCCAUGCAGCCAAUCAGCGCCUUGCCCUAGCGCAUGCCUAUGGCAACGAUUUUGAACCGUGGCCAAAAAGUGUCUUCAUCUUCUUCAGCAAAGCACGCAUGCAUGAACAGUACAAGUUCAACAUCAUCAUGAACAAUAUUCUCAGUUUUUGAAAUUAAGCACAUGUAUAGCUAGGUCUUUCAAUGUAUAACAACAAUCCACAAUUAAUUUAACCAAAAACAUCAUGAACAAUGAGAAUCAAUCAACUUAAGUUUCAUGCAUAGAACUUUAAAUCACCACAACUCACUCAAUAAUGCACGGUUUUCAGUGGUUCAAAGCUCAGCAUGCUCACACAAACAAGAUCUACAAGUCUAGCACAACAAUUUCAAGAAAAGAGAGACUCGAAAUUUUGACCUCUUGAUGAGCAACACGGUUUUCAGUGGUUCAAAGCUCAGCAUGCUCACACAAACAAGAUCUACAAGUCUAGCACAACAAUUUCAAGAAAAGAGAGACUCGAAAUUUUGACCUCUUGAUGAGCAACUUUCGAUUCGUGUGAUUUCAACGCCUUGCAAUGCUUCCAAUGUGUUCUAGCAAGCUUGUAUAGGUGUAUGGAUGAAGUCUUGAUAUUCAAUUGAGCUUGUUUCAACAGAUUUUGAAUUCCACCAUUGAUGAUCUUCAAGCUUGCAUAGGCUUCAAACUCCAUGAAUUCAUGUGAUUCUUGCUUGCAUCUUGCUCUAUGAUGAUGCUAGAUGAUGAAUUUGGCUAGGAAAAUGCAAAGUGUCUGAAGAAAUUUUGAGAAAAAAGUGAGAGAGAAAUUUGAGAGACUUUGAGAAUUCUAGAUCUAGAAUUGGAAAAUGUGAAAAUUCUGUUAUGAUUUGUGUUAUAUAUGCUUCACUAAUCAUGAUUAAUUAAAUUAAACCAAGUGCUAAUGAAAAAUGGUUAAUUUGGAGGUGUUUUGCAAAAAUUGGGAUUUCACCCUUAUGCAUGGGAUGCAUGUGAAUAGUGCACGUUUUUGGCCUUGAUUUCACUCAAAAUAAUGUUUUAAGGCCAAUGGUGAUAGUAGCAUGUGCAAAUAAUGCACACAUUUUGAAUUCUAUUUUUCCCUCCAAAAAUGCAUUGAAUUUUCAACUAUUUAUGUGAAUGGAAUGCAUGUCAUGUAAUGCCAAAUUUGGAAACUAGAGGUUAAAAGGAGAAUGUUGCAAAAAGAGCCAUCUCAUUUGGACAUUUGGUGUGAAAGUUAUGCCCCUUUGAAGUUCCAUGUUCAUUUGACCAAGAUUGAUCCAUAUCUCUUCAACCAUACAUGAGAAAUUCAUGAUCUUGGACUUUUUGGAAAUGGGAGAACAAGAUCUACAACUUUCAUUUCACAAAUUCAUUUGAAAGCUUUCUUGAUGAUGUUAUUUGAGGAGAAAACCUUUCCAUUCUUUGGCAAUUUUGAAUUUACAAGUCACUUUGUCUAUUUUUGCGAAAUUUUGGUCCGUGACUUUAUUUUCUUCAAUGUUGAUGUUUGAAAUGUCAAAUGAGACUUGUUUGAACAUGAAUGAAGUAUUUCUAACCACUUCCCACCUCCAAAUCCAACAGUUGACUUGUGGUUGACUUUUUUCAGUUGAUAGAUGACUUGAUCAUGCACAGAUGAAUUUGAGCCUCAAUCCCUUGAUGAAAUGGCUCCAAAAUGAAACCCUAGCUUAUACAAGCUCAAUAAAAUCAUAGGAUGAUCCCCAUCUCAUGAAAGACCUCAUCUCUUUGACAAACCCUGAUUGGCACAAUACAACUGAUUAGGAUUGACCAGAGGUCAAAACCCUAAUCCCAAGGAAUCUGAUCAGGCACAAUGAACCUCUUGGUGAUGAUAAGACCAUGAUGAUGGUGAUGUACCAUUCCAAUCCAAGAUAAUGAUCAAUCUCCUUGAGGAACCAAUAAACCCUAAUUGAAGCACAAACCCUCAGAUGGCUAGUGAUCAAUUCAUUAAGACUCUCAGGCUUGAAUCUUUUAACCUCUCUAUCUUCUGAGAAAGACUUAGGAGGAUGACUUGCUCAAUGUUUCCACAUGAUAUGCAAUAUGCAAUGACUAAUGCCCUAAAGAUGAAAAUGCAAUAUGCAAAGCUAGUCCCAAAAGAGGAGGGAAAAUUUUGAGGUGUUGCAUAAUUGCUGAUUGUAUGCUUUCGGAUAAAAUCCUACUAAUGAUGUACAUGCAUUGUUUCAAAUCCCCAAACACUAGAGAGAUAAGGAGUUAAUCCCUAGUCAACCACUUUGAGCCUAGAAGUAGGAGUUUCUUUCAGAUCUACAAACCCUUACGCUUAACCUAGGGUAGGGUAGUGUUCAGUUAACCUGACUACACAUUCGAAUUACAAGAUGAAAUAUUCCAUACAAGGAUCAAUCACAUGAUAUUUUUCGCACACAUCCUGAAGUGUCGAAGGAACUAUACAAAUCCAAAUUUUAUGACAGUUGUUCUUCAUUGACCAAUGACUUGGCAGUCACAAUUUUCAAAAAAAUCAAAUCAAAAAAGCCCGCUAAGUCCAACACCCUAAAAGGAGACUUAGGCAAAAACUGGGGCAAUCCCGAUGGAUUAAAGCUUCAAAAGGCGGUCCAUGCAAAAUUAGGGAUCAAAGCAAAAAUCGAGAGAGGCCAUGAAAGUCCUCAACAAAGAAAAACAAUAACCAGUGACCACCAUACCCAAGUCAAAAGGUCGCCAACAUCCAUGAAGAGAAAAAAUAGGAUGACUGUCAAGGGAUUGUACACUGCUGAACUCUCGCAAAAGUAAGUGUGUGCCGAAUUAACUGAACGUAGGAUUGGAGAUCAUUGUGAAAAAGGGGUGGGUUAAAAUAAACUUUGAGCCUUAUAUCCUUUUGUUUCAAAAAACCAUGAACCAAGCCACGUUACAACCCUCAAAAGACCUAAUUGAAGUAGGGUUUAUUCUGAAAGCAUACUACAACAAGGUUGCGUAAACUGACUCCUAGAGAUUUGCUAAUAUUCUAUUCUCACUAUAUCACUCACACGCCAGCUAAAAUCAACACCGUGUUUGGACACAUGGUCCACUCGUCACACACUACCACAAUACUCCCAAGUGAAUGAUUGUUUUUCAAAACUUACAUAACUAUUGCAUUAACAUCACCAUUUCUUGGAUAUGAGAUGUCGAAAUUCUGGUAUCAGAUAUGAGAUGUCAAAGGUAAUGUCACGACACUAAUAUCUGAACAAUACGAACAGGAUAAAAGAUAAAGAACAGUAAUGCAAGAGACACAAGCAAUUGUUAACCCAGUUUGGUGCAAACUCACCUACGUCUGGGGGCUACCAAGCCAGGAAGGAAAUCCACUAAACAAAAUCAGUUCAAAGACUCUCAGUAAACAACUUCAAGUUACAGCCUUUUCACCUAAUCUCUACCCGUGUGACUUCUACCUAAGAACUCUUAGAUAUGAGAUCCUACUCACUCCCCCUCAAUCACAACAGUGAUAUAAAACAAGAAUUACAAUGAAAAGAAGACACUCUUCAAAGAAUCACCUAAUCUCUACCCGUGUGACUUCUACCUAAGAACUCUUAGAUAUGAGAUCCUACUCACUCCCCCUCAAUCACAACAGUGAUAUAAAACAAGAAUUACAAUGAAAAGAAGACACUCUUCAAAGAGACAUACUUGAUCUUACUUAAAAGCUUCAAUCAAGUAAACACACACUCAUGCUUCAAAUCUUAUAGUGGACAAAUUAUAACUCAAAAAUCAGUCCAAUUCAAUCAUCUAUGGAUGAAUGAAUGACUUACAAUACACACGACCACACAAGACUAAAACCCUUAUUCUCUCUCAAUUUUUCGUUCGUUAUUUCUUGUGUAUAAAACCAAGUUUUCCAUGCCCUAUUUAUAGAAUCGUUUGGCUGGGCUUGGACAUCAUAAAACCCUAAAACUAUUUUCCAUUCAUAUCUUCUCAUGAUAGCUGAUUAUAUCUUGUUGGAAAAUAAGUCAAUCUAGUUGUAAUUACUGAUUGAGAGCAUGUUUAAUCAUCUCUUCAAUCAUACAUAGAUUAGCAUUAAAAACACAAUCACACAAUACAUAACAUUAAGACUGAAUGUUCUGUAUACAGAUGUCAUGACAUCGGGUCUGACAUCUCAGUAAAAUCCUGCAUAUUCACAUUUUAAACAUCCUGCAGGUACAUGUUAUCUUAUGUCAAGACAACACUUGUGACAUCACUGACAUCUCAGUAAAAUCCUGCAUAUUCACAUUUUAAACAUCCUGCAGGUACAUGUUAUCUUAUGUCAAGACAACACUUGUGACAUCUUGUGAACACUCUAGGUUUUACCAAAAUUGCUGCCAACAUAUAGAACCAACAAACUCCCCCUUUGGCAAAUUUUGGCUAAAACAUACAUCAGUCCAUUUGUUCACAAGAGUACAAAAAAACAUAUCAACAGUUUAACAGCAGAAGUAAUAAACCACACAUUUACUAGCUAUCAUAGCAACUAGUAAACACACAUAACACAUAUAUGUGCUUCUUCUCCCCCUCAGUCUGUUCAACACAGACAUCUCCUUCAACAACACCUGUAACAUCCAUCACUCCAUCUGACAUCUCCUUCAACAUCACCUAUACAACACAGAACAUCAUUAUGUUCAACAUCAGCUGUCAUCUGUUUAUAGCCUAGCUACUUCAUAGCACAUAUUAACUGCAGCUCUCCUCUACAGCUCUCCCUUUAGCUACUACUUCUCCCCCUUUUUAGUCAAAAUAGACCAAAGAGACCAAUGAGACAAAAUAAAUGUCUAUUAGUCCAACAGAGAAUGUCACAUAGAAUAUUAUAACAUAUAGAAUGUUAAAACAUAUUGCCAGGUGUUACAGAACCAUAAUUAUACACAGCUAUAUCAGCUGAGAUAAAAAGAAAUCCAAAGAACCCAAAAAUUACAUCAUGGCAUCAAAACAAGACUGCCAGAAAAAACAUCAAACAACACAUCAUCAUAACAGGGGGAACCAUCCUCACCACAACUCAGUCUGAGGAUCUAGCAUCUUCAUCAGCUUCAGAUCCAGAACUGUCACUUGAUUUAUCUUGAGAUUCAGACCUCUCACUUGAGACGUGGGCAUCUGUAUCCUUGGCUUGACCAAUAUUAUCCAUGUCUCCUUGCUCCAAGCUAUUAAUCAGAACCUCCGGAGCUUCUUUCCUAGCUUUAGCCACCCUAAUCCCAGUCUCCAAUUCCUUAUAGGUCUCUUUCAGUUCAGCAAUCAGGCCACCUUGAGAGGUUGGCUUCUUCAUAGCAGAUGUCAUGACAAUGUCAUUGACUUGACUGCCUUUAAAUAACUUGUAAUGAACUGACAAUGGAGGUUUUCUUCUACUAGGGAUAUCACUUGUGCUCAGUAUUCCAGGUUGUUGGCUUAGGAUUAUCCCACAAAUUAUUGAGGGAAACGCAAUGGGCAGCUUCACUGCUUUUGUGGAAGCAUGUUUGACAAUUUGUUCAAACAUGAACCUUCCAUGAUCAAAAUUAAGCUUGGUUCCAAUAGCAAAUAUGAUCCUCCCAAGAGCAUUAGAGAUUAUAGAGAUAUGGUUUGUUGGUACCCAGUUUGUUGACCCUAUCUUAUGCAAGAUAACAUAUUUCACAGUUAAUUUACCAGCAGAGAGAUACUUUUUUCUUGGCCACUCCUUGACCUGUCCAGCAGUUAUCGUCCUACAGACCUCAUUGUCUGUGGCCUCUAAUUCAACAACACCUUCUGUUCCUCUUCCUAGAAGCUUAUUGAUCACAGUAGGAGAAAACUUCACACACUUUCCUCUAACAAACACCUUGUAAAACUCUUUGUUGUUCUUGUCAGCAAUGUCCUCAGGGAUGUUCACCACAAACUCUUUAACAAGACCUUUAAAACAUUGAGAUAACCCACUAACUGUUUUCAUUAAACCAGCAGACUUGAUCAGGUCCAUGACCUCCUUAACUUCCACAACAUCCUUUCCCAGUUUUCUUUCCACAGCUACUCUCCUUUGGAUUACAAAUUUCCACUUGGCUGCACCAUCUUCCAGAUGGAAGGAAAUGUUAUCCAAAUGCACAGCAGCAACCUUAGCAGGGGAUUUUCUAACAUUUGACCUUUUGACAGGAGAGAUGUCUAGGACAUUAUCUUCAACAUCUUCCUCUGAAUCAGAAAUUUCUCUUACCUUUCUCUUCUUUACCUCCACUUUACUCCAAGACUUUGAAGGGCCUACAGCAGUAGCCUUCUUACCAGUUUUGGCUGUCAUCAUCUCAGCCACAGACCUACCCUUUCUGGUCUUCAUCCUUUUAGCAACACUUGGCUUCAAGUGAUGAAGCAAGCUAUCAUCUUCCACGUCUGAGCUUUCAUCGUCCAAGUCAAUCACCUUCUUACCAGAGUCAUGCUUCUGAGAAGCAUCUACAGAUUUCUUACUAGGCAAGGUUUACCCUAAAGAACACAGUCCUUCUGCAGCAAUAUCUUUCUCAAACCUAGAUGAGUCAUCAUCUUUCUCAUUGUGAGGUUCAACCUCAGGAGAAGGGUCCCUUCUAGACAGAGGACUAGACACUCCCUUUACCGAGUGUUCUUCAUUUAGGAUCCUCGAGACAAGAUUUCUAAUGACACGAUCAGUAUGAUACAUGUCAUCUUUAGAGGUAGGGUUAUCAGAACUGUUACCUUGAGUAUAUCCAGUAGUGGAGGAUGGACCAGGAGCGUCGCUUGGGAUGACUGAUAGGGGAAUCACUUCCAAAAUGUCCUCAUAAAGAAAAUCUAUGGAUGGUGUUCUUGCUUUGUGUACAAGUUUGGUGUUUUUAGAACUAGAAGAUGAAGGAUGUUGUGACAUCUUGUUGAGCUUGUGAAAGAAUUUUUGUUGCCCUAGUAGAGAUGGUCGAUAAAAUUUGAGGAAGAUGGAAGUGGUUGAGCUGAGGUUGCGUGUGAAAAUGCUAUAGAUGAUAGUUUAUAUACUAGGUAAUGAUUUACCAUAAAUGAGGCCCUUUCUUUUAAGUGGGAAGAUAAUAUUCUUAUUACCUUUUCCACUCCAAAUUAAUUGCUAUAAAUUCUCACGGAUACAAAUCCCUAAUUUCCCUCUUAAACAUUCAAAUUGAUUAGCAUCCAAAGCCUUUGUAAAUAUGUCAGCUAAUUGCAUUUCAGUAGUAACAUGCUCCAGGGCUAUGAUUUUCUCUUCCACUAGAUUGAUUAGCAUCCAAAGCCUUUGUAAAUAUGUCAGCUAAUUGCAUUUCAGUAGUAACAUGCUCCAGGGCUAUGAUUUUCUCUUCCACUAGUUCUCUAAUAAAGUGAUGACGAAUAUCAAUGUGUUUUAUCCUGCUGUGCUGAAUAGGAUUCUUAGAAAUAUUUAUAGCACUUAGGUUGUCACAGUACAAUGUCAUGACAUCUUGUGUGACAUUGUAUUCAGUCAACAUUUGUUUCAUCCAAACCAGUUGAGAACAACUACUCCCAACUGCUAUGUAUUCAGCUUCAGCAAUGGAUAGGGACACACAAUUUUGUUUCUUACUAAACCAUGAUAUUAAGUUGUUCCCCAAGAAGUAACAUCCUCCUGAUGUGCUUUUUCUAUCAUCAGCACUUCCAGCCCAGUCAGCAUCACAAUAUCCAGUCAGCAUAGAUCCAGAUCCAUGAGUAUAUAAUAUCCCAUAGUCACCGGUGCCAUUGACAUAUUUCAGUAUCCUCUUCACUUGGUUUAUGUGACUGACUUUUAGUUCAACUUGAUAUCUAGGACAAACACCUACAACAAAAGCAAUGUCAGGUCUGCUUGCUGUGAGAUAUAGCAAACUUCCUAUCAUGCUUCUGUAGAGACUUUGAUCUACACUAACACCAUUUUCAUCUUUGGAGACUUUCAGAUGUGUAGGAGCAGGUGUUCUUUUAUGACUUGCAUUCUCCAUGCCAAACUUCUUAACAAUGUUUUUGGCAUAUUUGCUUUGAGAUAGAAAGAUAGAAUCUUCCAUCUGCUUGACUUGUAGCCCAAGAAAAUAGGUCAGCUCUCCAACAAGGCUCAUCUCAAAUUCAGACUACAUUUAUUUAACAAAAUGUUCGACCAUCUGAUCUGACAUCCCACCAAACACAAUAUCAUCCACAUAUAUUUGAGCCACCAUGAGUUUUCCUCCUUCAUUCUUAACAAAUAAGGUUUUGUCAAUACCUCCCUUCCUGUAUCCAUUGUUAGUGAGGAACACUGUGAGUCUAUCAUACCAAGCCCUAGGAGCUUGUUUCAAGCCAUAGAGGGCUUUCCUCAACUUGUACACAUGCUUUGGAUAUGUGAAUCCUUUAGGUUGUUCAACAUAUACUUCCUCAUUUAAGUAGCCAUUCAAGAAGGCACUUUUUACAUCCAUUUGAAACAGUUUGAACUUCAGAAUACAUGUCACUCCAAGCAAUAGUCUAAUGGACUCAAGGCGAGCUACAGGGGCAAAUGUUUCAUCAAAAUCCACUCCUUCAACUUGAGUGUAUCCUUGUGCUACUAAUCUUUCUUUAUUUUUAGUAACCACCCCUUGUUCAUCAGAUUUAUUCUUAUACACCCACUUUGUUCCUAUGACAUUUAUUCCUUCCGGUCUUGGAACCAGUUCCCACACUUCAUUUCUCUUGAAUUGGCCUAACUCUUCAUGCAUGGCAUUGAUCCAGAACUCAUCAGUCAAGGCUUCCUUGACAUUCCUAGGCUCAAUCUUGGACACAAAACACCCAUGUGAGAUCACUUCCCUGACUAAGUUGUGACGCCCUUUACUUUGGGUCUUAUAUGAGAUCUUUAUGGAUGAUCCUUCUGAAGUUCCUGAGGGGGGUCCCUUGUUGAUUUGUGUCAGUUCAGGUUCGCUUGAGAGGUUCAUCUAUUAUUUUUUCGUGGUAAUCAGCUGGGCAUCAUUUUAGAAGAUGUCUCAACAUCGUCCUGUAAUCAUCAGUUGUUGAUUCAUCACUCACAACAUUGAUAGAUUCCAUCAUUACUUUUGUUCUGGAAUUAAAGACUCUAUAUGCUCUGUUGUUUGUUGAGUAGCCCAGAAAUAUUCCUUCAUCACUUUUGGGAUCCAUCUUCCUUCUUUGUUCAUGAUCAGUCAAGAUAUAACAUUUACUACCAAACACAUGGAAGUAUUUGACUGUAGGUCUUAUCCCUUUCCAGACUUCAUAUAAGGUAGUAGGAGUCCCUUUCUUCAAGGUUACUCUGUUGUGAACAUAGCAGGUUGUGUUCAUAGCUUCAGCCUAGAAGUGGUAGGGAAAUUUCUUGGCAUGAAUCACAGCUCUGGCUGAUUCUUGGAGAGUUCUAUUUUUCCUUUCUACCACACCAUUUUGAUGGGGAGUAAUGGGAGAUGAGAACUCAUGGCUAAUUCCUUCUGAUGCACAGAAUUCAGCAAAUUUGUUGUUUUCAAAUUCCUUCCCAUGAUCACUUAUGAUUUUGAUAACUUGACUUUCCUUUUCUCUUUGAAGUCUUAGACAAAGAUCUUUGAAGAUUUCAAAUACAUCAGACUUUUCUCUUAUAAAAUUGACCCAGGUGUAUCUGGAGAAGUCAUCCACCACUACAUAGGCAUACUUCUUCCCACCAAGGAUUUCCACCUGCAUGGGUCCCAUCAAAUCCAUAUGGAGGAGUUCCAGCACUCUGGAAGUGGUGUCAUGUUUAAGCUUCUGGUGUGACAUCUUUGUCUGUUUUCCAAUCUGACAUUCCCCACAAACUCUUCCUUCAUCAAUCUUCAAAAUGGGAAUUCCUCUAACAGCUUCAACAGAUAUAAUCCUCUUCAUUCCUUUAAGAUGCACAUGGCCCAAUCUUUGAUGCCAUAUCUUCACUUCUUCUUCUUUGGCUAGAGUACACAUUGAGGAAUAACCAGUUUCUUGAGAACUCCAUAUAUAGAAGUUGUCUUUAGACCUAACUCCUUUCAUGAUCACUUCAUUUUCUUUAUUAGUAAUCAGACAUUCAGUUUUUAUGAAGUUUACAGUUAGACCUUGGUCACAUAGUUGACUGAUGCUUAUUAGGUUUGCAGUCAGUCCCUUAACAAGUAGGACAUUGUCAAGAUUAGGAACUCCAGGGCAGUUAAGCUUACCAAUCCCCUUGAUCUCACCCUUUUCUCCAUCACCAAAGGUUACAUAGCUGGUGGCAUGAGGAUGAAGGCCAGUUAGCAGGUUUUUGUUUCCAAUCAUGUGUCUGGAGCACCCACUGUUAAAAUACUAGUCUUCUUUGGCUGAAACUCUGAAGGAAGUGUGAGCUAUCAAGUUUGUAACAACAGUCCUAGGAACCCAUUGUUUUUUGUUGACAGGUAUGUGAUGUUUGGGUCUAGGUUGAUGAUGAGAAGGACUAGGAUAGCCAUAUAACUUAUAGCAGAAUGGUUUUAUGUGGCCAAAUUUUCCACAGUAAUGACAUCUCCAUCUUUGAUAUUUCCCUUUCUGCUGUCUUCCUUUAUGAUGUUGUGACAUCUCUGGUUUGCUACCAGUGUGACUGCACCUAGGUUUAGAUUUAGGUUUGCUACCAGUGUGACUGCAUUCAGGUUUAGAUUCAUUGAACCUAAUGCUAGACUUGUCUCCUGCCAUUUGUCCAGUCUGGAGAAUUUUGUCUAAGGUGUCAGUUCCAUUGUUCAGCAUUCUGACAUACUUUGUCAUCUCAUCCAGUUUAGAAUUCAAGAAUACUGCUUCAGUUUUUAACUUAGAGAUGGUUUCCAAAUGUUCUGCCUUUUCAUUCUCCAACUGUGCUAUCACUUUCUUCUGACUUUCAACUUGUUGACACACUUCUUCACUUCUGUGACACAGCUUUCUGUAGGUAGUCGCUAACUCAUCAAAGGUCACUUCAUCAUCACUUGAGUCUUCAUCAGAACCCCAUCUUCCAGUCAAGGCAGUCACAAGAUUUGCAGACUCUUAUGUUUCACUUUCAUCAGACCAAGUAGAAGUAAGACUCUUCUUCUGUUUCUUGAGGUAGGUUCCACAUUCAGUUCUAAUGUGUCCAUACCCAUCAUAUUCAUGGCACUGAACUCCUUUUCCUUCUUUGGGCUUUUCAUCUGAUCUAGUUCUUCUUCCAGAAUUGUUGGAUUUACUGAUGUCAGAUGAGAUAUUCUUGACAUUAGCCUUAGACCUUACAUCCAUCUUUUUUAGAAGUCUGUUGAACUGUCUUCCCAACAAUGCUACAUCAUAAUUUCCAGAUCUUCAUCAAUAUCUUGACCACUUUCCUCCUCUUUCUCCUCAGUGUUUUACAUGAAGGCUAUGCUUUUGACUUUCUUUUCAGAUCCAUCACACAUUCCCAUCUCAAAUGUUUUGAGGGAUCCAAUUAGCUCAUUAACUCUCAUAUUGGAAAUGUCUUGAGACUCUUCUAUGGUUGUCACUUUCAUGGCAAAUCUCUUAGGAAGUGACCUGAGUAUUUUCCUCACUAGUUUUUCAUCUGCCAUCUUCUCACCCAGGGCUCCUGAGGCAUUAGCAAUUUCAAGUAUAUUCAUAUGAAAUUCAUAAAUAUUUUCAUCUUCUUUCAUUCUUAAGUUUUCAAACUUGGUAGUGAGCAGCUGCAGUCUAGAGAUCUUCACUCUAGAGGUGCCUUCAUGAGUGGUUUUGAGAAUGUUCCAAGCAUCUUUAGCCACCUCACAGUUGUUUAUCAAUCUGAAGAUAUUUGUAUCUACUCCAUUGAAUAUAGAAUUCAAUUCUUUAGAGUUCCCAAGCUCUAGAUCAUCCUCCUCUUUGGUCCAUUGUUCCUCAGCCUUCUUAUCAGUUGUAGCUUCUCCAUCCUUAGUAAUCACUGGAUGUUCCCAGCCUGUUAAAACAGCCUUCCAAGCCUUGUUAUCCAGAGAUUUUAGGAAGGCUACAAUUAGAGGUUUCCAGUAGUCAUAGUUGGAUCCAUCCAGAAUAGGUGGUCUGUGAACAGAUCCUCCGUCUCUAUCCAUAGUACCAGAAAGUAACGUCCUUAGAUCUCACCCAGAACCAGAGCAUGAUGCCUGCUUUGAUACCAAUUGAAAUUCUGGUAUCAGAUAUGAGAUGUUGAAGGUAAUUUCACGACACUAAUAUCUGAACAAUACAAACAGGAUAACAGAUAAAGAACAGUAAUGCAAGAGACACAAGCAAUUGUUAACCCAGUUCGGUGCAAACUCACCUACGUCUGGGGGCUACCAAGCCAGGAAGGAAAUCCACUAAACAAAAUCAGUUCAAAGACUCUCAGUAAACAACUUCAAGUUACAGUCUUUUCACCUAAUCUCUACCCGUGUGACUUCUACCUAAGAACUCUUAGAUUUGAGAUCCUACUCACUCCCCCUCAAUCACAGCAACGAUAUAAAACAAGAAUUACAAUGAAAAGAAGACACUCUUCAAAGACACAUACUUGAUCUUACUUAAAAGCUUCAAUCAAGUAAACACACACUCAUGCUUCAAAGCUUAAAGUGGACAAAUUACAACUCAAAAAUCAGUUCAAUUCAAUCAUCUAUGGAUGAAUGAAUGGCUUAUAAUACACACGACCACACAAGACUAAAACCCUUAUUCUCUCUCAAUUUUUCGUUCGUUAUUUCUUGUGUAUAAAACCAAGUUUUCCAUGCCCUAUUUAUAGAAUCGUUUGGCUGGGCUUGGACAUCAUAAAACCCUAAAACUAUUUUCCAUUCAUAUCUUCUCAUGACAACUGAUUAUAUCUUGUUGGAAAAUAAGUCAAUCUAGUUGUAAUUACUGAUUGAGAGCGCGUCUAAUCAUCUCUUCAAUCAUACAUAGAUUAGCAUUAAAAAUGCAAUCACACAAUACAUAACAUUCAGACUGAAUGUUCUGUAUACAGAUGUCAUGACAUCGGGUCUGACAUCAGUCAUUUUAGGACGUAUAAGUGUAAAAUUUGUAGGACGUCCUACAUGUUAUCUUAUGUCAAGACAACACUUGUGACAUCUUGUGAACACUCUAGGUUUUACCAAAAUUGCUGCCAACACAUAGAACCAACACAAUAUAAGACAAAUCUCCAAGCAUCAGUGGAUGAGAGAGGAAAAACACUUCGAUACGUAGCCCGUCUGAGGCAAGUGUCUCAAAGGCUAAUCAGGGGAAGAUUGUUGCAAGAGUCAUACGUUGGAGAAAACAGACUCAAGCCAUGAGAUAAUCACUCCUAAAGGUUUCCUUUCAAGGAGGAUUCCUGUGAACACCCUACAGACUGGGGCAAGACAAGUUGCAAGAGGAAAAUUCCCUUCAUAUCUUCAAGCUAGUCAAGCAGAUUGUGUCAGACACUAGUGACUGCUUGAACUCACGAACAAAAACGUCGAAGGUUCAUACCAGUACAACAUCACAUCUUAACGAGAAUCCUAGUGGCACAUCAAAGGCAUGACCAUCAUGCAUUGAUCACGUCGCUAUGCUCAGUUACAGGCUAGCCAGACAUCUCAGAAGAAGAAGCCGAGAUCUUCUCAAAGACAAAUACACAAUAUAUCAACAAGAAAUCAAACUUGGGGCACCAAGAGUAUCCGCAUCUACUGCGUGUUCAUCACAUCAUCAACUACCGAGUGUCGGGAAGUCAGAUUCUCCCACCAAUCAAUAGCUCAAUCCACAUUGAGAAUGACUAGAAAAGACCAAAGUCCUCCUGGCUGGCACUAACACAAAAUCAAAUACAACCAGCACUAGUUUCCAGAAGAUACAUCGCCUUUGAAAAGGGGGGCCAAUCCCUAUCAAACCAAUCAUCAUUUGCAUUCAAACGUGCAUCACAUGUAUCCCAUGUAUCACCUCAUACAUAACACAUACAUAACAUUUAUUCAUAUAGCACAAAUCAAAAUCCAAGGUCUAGUCGUAGGCAUCCAGGCCAACCCUCAGUUGAGUCAUUGUCACUUCCUCUAAGUGAGUUCCUACCCUAUUAUCGGGCGUCCCCCAUUAAGUUACAUCCUUCAACCUUUUGUUGAUAAGGUAUUAUCCUCAGCUAAGUCAAACAUUGUUUCUUUAAACACCUACCUUGUUUCGCGUUGAGCGUCCCUCAAUGAGUUGUUUCCUAUAACCUUUUGUUGAUGAAAAUUACAUCUUUCUAGAGAACAUUUUUCUGCGACCUUUUGUUGUUGAUACCCCAAGCAAGUCUUACCCAGUAGUGUUCCAAUACUACCCAACAAGUCGGGUUUAUCGAGCUUUGUUAGUAGCCUUAUUUUUCUAUUAUUUCUCUCACUAUCAUCCUCUUGGUGAAAGUCCCUUGAUGAAUAAUGAUCAUCGCCCUAUUUACGAUAAUCGUUAUCCUUUUGGUAAUGGUAAAUCCUUGACAUUCGUGAUCUUACCGUCAUCCUUUUGGUGUCGGUGAUCCUUGAAGUUUUGUCCUAACCUUCAUCCUUUUGGUGAAUGGUGCCCUUUGCAAUUAUUAUAGCUUACCGUCAUCCUUUUGGUGUCAGCCAUCCUUGUGGUGACAGGGAUCCUUGUCAUUUUGGUUCAACCAUCACCCUUUUUUGAUGGUGAUCUCGGUUAUUAUGUUUAAUCAUCAUCCUUUUGGUGAUGACGUCCAGUUCAAUCUAAACAUCAUCCUUUUGGUGAUAGAGAUUACGGAGUUUGGUUUAAGCUAUCAUACUUUUGGUGAUGGUGACAUUUGGAAAGUCCAAUCCCACUGUCAUCCUUUUGGUGUCAUCAAUAUUUGAAGUUGUUAUAACUUAUUAUCAUCCUUUUGGUGGUAACAAGUUUCGAAGUUAUGAUCUACCCUUCAUCCUUUUGGUGAUGGUGAUCGUUGAUUCAUUAUCAUCCUUUUGGUGAUAACGAGUCCUGUUGUUUGUAGUACCUUCAUCCUUUUGGUGAUGGUGACUGUCGACUUAUUAUCAUCCUUUUGGUGAUAACAAGUUUUAUUGUUCGAUCCUACCUUCAUCCUUUUGGUGACGGUGAUCAGUAAAGGUUAUCGACAUAUUAUCAUCCUUUUGGUGGUAACGAAUUUGUUGUUUGAUCCUACCUUCAUACUUUUGGUGACGGUGACCAUUUGAGUUAUGGACUCAUUAUCAUCCUUUUGGUGAUAACGGGUUUUUAUUUUAUAUUACCUUCAUCCUUUUGGUGAUGGGGAUCCUUUGAGUUGUGUGACUUAUUAUCAUCCUUUUGGUGGUAACAAGUUGUGUUGUUAAUUUUACCUUCAUCCUUUUGGUGAUGGUUAUUGGUGACUUAUUAUCAUCCUUUUGGUAAUAAUAAGUUUUGAAGUUUUGUUCUCACCUUCAUCCUUUUGGUGAUGGUGAUCAUUUAAGUGGUUAUGACUUACUAUCAUCCUUUUGAUGAUAGCAGGUUUUGUUGUUUGACCUUACCUUCAUCCUUUUGGGGAUGGUGGUCAUUGAAGUUAUUUGACUUAUUAUCAUCCUUUUGGUGAUAACAGGUUUUGUUUUGAUCUUACCUUCAUCCUUUUGGUGAUGGUGAUCAUUUGAGUUAUUGACUUAUUAUCAUCCUUUUGGUGGUAACAAGUUUCGUUUUUGAUCUUACCUUCAUCCUUUUGGUGAUGGUGAUCAUUUAAAUCAUCGACUUAUUAUCAUCCUUUUGGUGGUAACGAGUUUUGUUGUUUAAUCCUACCUUCAUCCUUUUGGUGACGGUGACCAUUUGAGUUAUGGGCUCAUUGUCAUCCUUUUGGUGAUAAUGGGUUUUGUUUUGAUCUUACCCUCAUCCUUUUGGUGAUGGCGAUCAUUAAGUUUAUUUCGGCUUAUUAUCAUCCUUUUGGUGAUAACAAGUUUUGAAGUUCUGUCCUUAUUAUCAUCCUUUUGGUGAUAACAAGUUUUGUUUUUGAUCUUACCUUCAUCCUUUUGGUGAUGGUGAUCAUUUGAGUUGUUGACUUAUUAUCAUCUUUUUGGUGGUAACAAGUUUCGUCUUUUAUCUGACCUUCAUCCUUUUGGUGACGGUGAUCAUUGGUGAUUGUCGACUUAUUAUCAUCCUUUUGGUGGUAACAAGUUUGGUUGUUUAAUUGUACCUUCAUCCUUUUGGUGAUAGUGAUCAUUGAAGUUAUUUGACUUAUUAUCAUCCUUUUGGUGAUAACAAGUUUUGUUUGGUCUUACUUUCAUCCUUUUGAUGAUGGUGAUCAUUGAAGUCAUUUGACUUAUUAUCAUCCUUUUGGUGAUAACAGGUUUUGUUGCUGGAUCUUACCUUCAUCCUUUUGGUGACGGCGAUCUUUGAAGUUGAUGAGUUAACUAUCAUCCUUUUGGUGGUAGCCCUGAUAUUAUACUCUCGGUAAUGGGAAACUUUAUCAGAACGACCAUCAUCCUUUUUGGUGACGGACAUCGUCCUUUUGGUGAUGGAAACCUUUGGAUUGUGUCCAACUUUCAUCCUUUUGGUGAUAGCAAGAUUUGUUGUCGAUAUUACCAUCAUCCUUGUGGUGAUGGCGAUCUUUCUUGUAGCCACUGUAACCAUCAUCCUUUUGGUGAUGACUACCUUUGAAGCUCGGUUUAACCAUUAUCCUUUUGGUGAUGGACCUCAUCCUUUUGGUGAUGAUUCUUUUUAAAGCCCGGUUUAUCCAUCAUCCUUUUGGUGAUGAUGAUCCUGAAAAUCAUGGUGAAUUUCGGUCAUCCUUUUGGUGAUAUCAAUUAAUCCUACUGUCAUCCUUUCGGUGCCAGAAAACCUGUUCAAUUUUAGUCCCACAUUUGUCUUUACAUCAAUAACGACCUUUGCAAAGAUUUAAAUGUCGACUCGAGGGUUGACAUUGAUUUGACAUUCUACCCCUAAUACCUUGGUGUUGUUAGAAUUCAUUGCAUUUUCUUUCUGCAUAUCUCCAUUGCAUUCCAAAGGACAAAAUUUGGGUCUUUUCGUAUUUAAUUACCUUCCACCACGAAUGUAUGAAGACCGUUGUCAUUCUUACCUUCUAGUUCAAGAUAAUUAAAUAGGGGCAGCUGUCAUACCCCAAUUUUGUUCGGGCAUUUAAAUCUUUGUAAAAUUGAUUUCAUUUUUAAUUUGCAUCAUAUACACAGCAUGGCAUGCAUUCCAUCAUGAAUAAAACCUAAAAUAUCAGUUGGAAUAAAUUAUUGAAAAUACAGACAAUCGGUUAAAUAAUUUCUCAAAAACGUGCAAAAAUCAGCGGGUAAAAAGUUUCAAAAUUAAAAUUGCAGACGUCAGUAUUAUUAAUCUACGGUUCACGUAGUUUAACUUGGUGUGCUCGUCAUAUUUUUCAAUGACUGUUUCGGCUGCAUUGUGACCCGCCUGAGCCUUUUAACCGGUGAAAAUUUAUUUCAAAAUUUAAAGAAACGCUGUAUUUUUUCAAUAAGUAUAUUUUAUGCUGAUAAUUUUAGUGUGCCCGAUUUAAUUUUUCGAGCAAAUUUAUAUCCGGCUUCUAUUUAUAAUCGAUCACUAUUUUUGCUAGGUUAAUUAUUCAACUAAAGUAAUUAAAAGUUUAUUUAAAUCAAAACAUUUAUUAGGAAUUUUUAAUAAGAGUAUUUCUUUUAAUAAUAGUAAUUGUUUGAGAUUUAACAUUGGAUUCUUUGUAGUAUUUUUGACAACAUUGGAUUCUUUGUAGUAUUUUUGACAGCUAGCAUUGAAGAAGGAAAAAAGAUCUCUCAUAUCUCUCUCUCUCUCAGCCACGUCACACUCACAACAAAUACUCUUUCUCCCACUAACUCUCUCUCUAAUCUCUCGUACGCAUAAAAAACAGAAGAAAAAAACGAAAAAAGAAAAAGAGAGGCACAAACCACCACUCUCUCUCUCUCCUCACACUCACCUACAAUUACUCACUCACUCACAUCUCUCUCUACACUCAGACUCUCUCUAAAAAAUAAUUAAAAAAAGAGAAAAAAGAAAAGGAGGAAUUACUGUUCCUCUUCUUGAAUCCAUCCGCCGUCAUACUCCCCCACCGUCACAACCCAAAACAACCAUUCAUCACCACCAAAUCUACCGCGUCUCAUACACCAUAACCACCAUUAAACCAUCAAACAUUUGCUUCGACAAAAUCUCCAACUACUCUCUCACACUCACCAAAAACUCUCCCUCGCCUCACCUAUCUUCUGUCAAUCUCUGUAGAAAAAAAAGAGAAAAAACGAGAAAAGAAAAAGAAAUUGGGAAAAACUCUUCCUCUUCUUCGAAUCUCACAAGCCACUACCCCAUCGCCUCCAUUGCCUCCAACCGACGCGGUUACUUCCAUCACAGACCACCGCUCCACCUCAACAACCUUCAUCAAACCCAUACUCCCUCCAAAUCACCAACAACCAAACCAGAUCCAUACGUCUUAAUCCCGCCACCGCAAUGUAAAGAUCUUUGACGGUAUCCACUCAACAUGCGAUUUCUUAUUUUUGGUUCAAUCGAUAAGAACGGGGUUUGAAUUUAUAGAAAUCAAAUUUAUUUAGUUCCUGUUAUUUCUAAAAUUUUCUAGUUGGUUUUGCUUUACCAUGGUUUGGUUAGUUUUCUCAGAGGUUUAAUUUCAUAAGAUUGCUGCCAUAUUUUAGUGAUAGGCUUGCGUUACAUUCUUGGAGUGCUGAAGUUGCCAACCUUGUGCUUCACUAUGAAUCACCUCCUUCACCACCGUCGCUCCCGACGAACCUUCCAACCCUUCUCCGUUCAGACGCUGUCACAGCACCGCAACCAAACAACAACACCGUUCCGUGAGCUCCUCCUUCCACAUGUCCAAAAUUGAGCUCAAAUUGGUAAUCUCCGAUUCCGACUACUUCAAGAAGCUCAACUUACAGUGGCGCAAACUCAUCAACAUUGACAAUACAACGGCAUUGUGGGUAACGGCAUUCUAAGGCCAUAAUUUUAUUAUGUUGGUUAUUUGUUUUACUGUAUAAUUUUAUGUUAUUUUGGAUCUCUGUGGGGUUCAUGUUGUUUCAUGCCAUUUGUUUUUAAUACUAGGAUGAAUAAAUGUUAUGCAUAGUAAGUUUUUGUCUUAAUUUUCCCUAUGGAUAUUGUUGCCAUCGCCUACUAAGCACUGACACUGGGUGCUACAGAAGUUGUUGUUUGUUUAUGAGAUUUUGUACCUGAUUUAACCAAAUGUGGACCUUAAAUAUAAAGGUGAUCUUAG
rnacentral:lncRNA from 1 species